GGACCAUCUAGCGUCCGGCCCAAUUUCAUUUUGAAAUUGGAGAGGUCACUUUUCACGGUCCCCGCCGCCUCGACCAAUAGAAACGCGCGCGCUCAAAAUGACGACUAUUUGAAUCACCUGCGUCGUCUCGUCUCGUAUUCAUCGCGCGCCGCCGAGUGGAAAGGCUUUGAGGUGUCCGGAAUCCGCGAUGUCCGAGGAGAACGGCGCUCGCGCGCCCACCGCGGAAACGGUCAGUGGAGACAAUUGGAAGCGAGCGUCAUUGUUUCGGGCUCAACGUCUCGCGCGGCGUUUCGUCGAAGGUGCGGGAUGUCGACGAGAGGAUCCGGACGGCGUCCGAGCAAGUCACCCUGUGCGAUCAAAUCCUGCGGGACUUGAAAGAGCUCGAGCGCGUUCUCGCGACGAGAUCUCUGCGGGACGUGACCUCGCCGCCGCAAAAGUGACGCGCUUCUCGCUAGAAGGAGACCUGAGGCAAUGCGUUUUAUUAGUACAGUGCUCUUAGUUGACAGAAAGUUGUGAUAUGGAGCAUAUGCAAACGUCCAAGCCGAUCCAUUGGCGUUGAAAAGACACGUUCUCGCACGCCGGGGGCUGGCGAGGCAUCCCUUCGGAAGCCGUAGCCAAUUCCAAUUCCUCCUGGAAUGUUUCUAUGCAAUUGUUAAAUGAGGAUGAGAAUAAACCAGCGUCAAAAAC